rnacentral:rRNA from 1 species
AGAGCGAACGCUGGCGGCAGGCCUAAAACAUGCAAGUCGAACGGAUCCUUCGGGAUGAGUGGCGGACGGGUGAGUAACACGUGGGAACGUGCCUUUUGGUUCGGAACAACUCAGGGAAACUUGAGCUAAUACCGAAUGUGCCCUUUUAGGGGAAAGAUUUAUCGCCAUUAGAGCGGCCCGCGUCUGAUUAGCUAGUUGGUGGGGUAAAGGCUCACCAAGGCGACGAUCAGUAGCUGGUCUGAGAGGAUGAUCAGCCACACUGGGACUGAGACACGGCCCAGACUCCUACGGGAGGCAGCAGUUAGGAAUCUUGCGCAAUGGGCGAAAGCCUGACGCAGCCAUGCCGCGUGAAUGAUGAAGGUCUUAGGAUUGUAAAAUUCUUUCAGCGGGGACGAUAAUGACGGUACCCGCAGAAGAGCUCCGGCUAACUUCGUGCCAGCAGCCGC